rnacentral:rRNA from 1 species
UCAGGCCUAACACAUGCAAGUCGAACUAGCUCUAGCGCAAGUUAGAGUGGGUGGCGGACGGGUGAGGAACGCGUAAGAACCUACCCCUAGGAGGAGGAUAACUGCUGGAAACGGCAGCUAAUACUCCAUAUGCUGAGGAGCAAAAGGUCGAAAGACCGCCAAGGGAUGGGCUUGCGUCUGAUUAGCUAGUUGGUGAGGUAAAUGCUUACCAAGGCGACGAUCAGUAGCUGGUCUGAGAGGAUGAUCAGCCACACUGGGACUGAGACACGGCCCAGACUCCUACGGGAGGCAGCAGUGAGGAAUUUUCAAGAAUGGGCGAAAGCCUGACGGAGCAAUACCGCGUAAUGAAAGGAGGCCUGUGGGUUGUAAACUUCUUUCUCAGAGACGAAAAAA